AGGACGAACGCUGGCGGCGUGCCUAACACAUGCAAGUGGAGCGACGAACCGGGCUUCGGCCCGGGGCAAAGCCGCGAACGGGUGAGUAACACGUGAGCAACCUGCCCUUAGCUCCGGGAUAGCUCCGGGAAACCGGAAUUAAUACCGGAUAUGACCUAGGCCGACAUCGGCUGUGGUGGAAAGUUUUUCGGCUGGGGAUGGACUCGCGGCCUAUCAGCUUGUUGGUGGGGUAAUGGCCUACCAAGGCGACGACGGGUAGCCGGCCUGAGAGGGCGACCGGCCACACUGGGACUGAGACACGGCCCAGACUCCUACGGGAGGCAGCAGUGGGGAAUCUUGCGCAAUGGGCGAAAGCCUGACGCAGCGACGCCGCGUGGGGGAUGAAGGCCUUCGGGUUGUAAACCCCUUUCAGCAGGGACGAAGCGAAAGUGACGGUACCUGCAGAAGAAGCGCCGGCUAACUACGUGCCAGCAGCCGC
rnacentral:rRNA from 1 species